AGAAAUAUGAAGAUCAAGAAAAAGCUGCUAACUCUUUUCUUUAGUGGUUUAAUUCCAUUAAUAUUUCUAU
rnacentral:tRNA from 1 species